rnacentral:tRNA from 1 species
AGGGUUGUGGCUCAGUGGAAGAGUGCUUGCCUGGCAUGUGAGGUUCUGGGUUCAAUUCCCAGAACCUUUA